UACGAAGGGGGGCUAGCGUUGCUCGGAAUUACUGGGCGUAAAGGGCUCGUAGGCGGCCAACUAAGUCAUACGUGAAAUCCCUCGGCUUAACCGGGGAACUGCGUCUGAUACUGGAUGGCUUGAGUUCGGGAGAGGGAUGCGGAAUUCCAGGUGUAGCGGUGAAAUGCGUAGAUAUCUGGAGGAACACCGGUGGCGAAGGCGGCAUCCUGGACCGAUACUGACGCUGAGGGAGCGAAAAAGCCAGGGGGGAGCAAAACGGGG
rnacentral:rRNA from 1 species